UACGUAGGGUGCGAGCGUUAAUCGGAAUUACUGGGCGUAAAGCGUGCGCAGGCGGUUCGUUGUGUCGGCGGUGAAAGCCCCGGGCUCAACCUGGGAAUGGCCGUUGAAACUGGCGAACUGGAGUGUGGCAGAGGGGGGUGGAAUUCCGCGUGUAGCAGUGAAAUGCGUAGAGAUGCGGAGGAACACCGAUGGCGAAGGCAGCCCCCUGGGCUGACACUGACGCUCACGCACGAAAGCGUGGGGAGCAAACAGG
rnacentral:rRNA from 1 species